rnacentral:piRNA from 1 species
UGUGAAAGAUGAGCCUGGGAACAAGGU